UAGGCUUCCUAAAUCACGCCACCUGUCCCUAUAUUCAUUGCAUCCUGUGGGUGGUGCCUUGGGCAGUUAAUCCUACUCCCUAAACAAACAUCUAGACCUCACAUGAACUGAAGCUCCUCAAUUCAAAUCCUAAUAAAUAAAAGCAACAAGAAAAAUCCUAAAAUCAAAAAAACCUUUCCCCUUCCCUUCUCAUUUUUAACUACAUCUGUUGAAGAGUUUCUUUUGCUUGAGAACUUGGAACCCACAAGAUUUUGUGCUAAAACAAUUUUCUUCCCACAGUUCCUUCUAUUAACUGAGCUCAUCGGAGGCCUUGUUCUUUCUUCUUCGGACUCAGACCCUUAAAACUGUCGUCGACUCUGUAUCCUCCUUUUUCCUUUCUUUGUUCCUUUGUCUCUCUCUUUUUUUUUUUUAGUUUUGCGAUUUUGGUGACUGUAGUUCUCAUAAAUAAGAAACCAGUGUUCUUUUUUGUGUUUUUGUGCCCUAAUUCCAUACCCCUUUGAUCCUUCUGAAUGAAUGGAUCGUCCUCCCUCGGAGUUUUUUUCCACCCAAAAGGUCGGCAAAUCCCUUCCUUUUCCCCACAUUACGAUCACAUGUGCUGCUUCAUUUGCUUCCUGAGCUUUUUUACGACAUUCAGUGGAUCUCCUUCUAAAAUGAUGUAUUGAAACCCUAGGUUUUCUGCGAAGGCUACUUCGUGAAGGCGUGCAUAGGUUUCUACUAUUGUUGGAUCUCGUAUGUUCUCAAUCGAGUAGGUGCAUGAACCGAUUACAAAACCGUUGUUAUUUCUUACUAUAAUUCCAGAAACUGCCCUAUUAUUUGGCUUUUGAAAACUGGUGUCGAUAUUAACUUUAACUUGGUCUUCUGAUGGGGGUUUCCAUUGUAGAUCUUGUAUUCUGUGGUUUCUUACAAGAUUAUUGUCCAACAUUUUAAUUUCGUUUAUAAAGGCUUUGAUGAAACUUAUGAUGUUGUUAAUACCUUGUCGAACACCUGCAUGAUAAAACAAGUCUCUAUUGUGUCAAAUCGCCUAGAAUGCGAUUGCUAAACAUAUUCUCUGUUUUGUAUUAUUUGACUUAAAAGUAUCGGUUAACCAAAUUUUCCACUCUGUGUUUUCAUGCAUGGUUGCAAUUUGAACAUCCAUCUUUUGGAGAACAAGCUUUGCAACGUAACAAUCGCAUAAGACAUGUGCAGUUGAUUCUUCUUUUUCACCACAUGUCGAGCACAUCGCUUCAAAUAUGAGUUUUUGAAUUUAAGAUUACUUAGAGUAGGCAUGAAAUUGUUUGUAAUCCGCCAUAGGUUGAUUUUAAUUUUGCUGGGAAUUUUUAAGCCCCAUAGUGCUGUAUGAUAAAUUUUCAUUUGGUCUAUCACUAUUGUAUUUUCAUUUCCCAGCAAAUUUAUAUCUUCUGUAAGACACUUGUAUCCACUCUUCAGUGUGUAUUCGCUAGUAUUGUCUCCCCGCCAAA